UGGAGGCAGGUGACUUGGGCAGGGCCAGGAAGGAGCCGAGGGAGCCCCAGGGGCCCUGGCCAGAGGGAGUGGUGGUUUGAAAAGUAGAACAGCUGAAGCUGGGGCCAGCCUAGGAGACUCUUGCUUGCGAGAAAAUAUACCAAAGCCCACAUUACUUUUCUCCUUAUUGGAAGAAAGAGAAGCAGCCAUUGUACCAAGCUAUCUUCUGGUGGAGGUCUGCUAAGGAUACACGGAGGUCUCAGCAAAGGGAAGAAACUAUGUGAUCCAAGGGCCACCCUGCUCCUCGGCCCUGCCCAUGUUAACUGACCAUUGCACUCAUUCUCAGAUCUGUAGCCGUCUUCCUGUCUGGAAGCUGGGGCAACCACCACCAGUCAGCACUUCAGGGUGACAGCAUAAUUUGCCCUCCUUGUGCCAGGUACGGUCACCUGGUUUGCCGCAUUCACAUUUUCAGGUGGAUGACCAAGCGGAGGAACUAGAAGAGUCUAGUGAAGCAUCCAGAGACUGGAUCUCCUUUCACAUCUGGUUUGAUAAACUCCGAAUGAAGGAGACCCCCAGCCUCAGGAAAGCACCUGUCCUUCCAGGAGGGACGGGAGAGAGCCUGACCCAGUGUAUUACCACAGCCCUUGUUCCACCUCUGAGGGAGACAGUGACAGAUGGGAAGGCAGUGAUGCUCUUGGUCCCAGCCAGAAGCCAGGGGAGAUGGGAGGUACACCAGAGCAGGGCCUGACAAGGAAGAAAAUAAGGAUGCUUUGGACCUCAGUGUCCUUGUCUUGAAAAUGGGAAGGACAAUUCAUGUCCCUGUCUGCCCUGGGGAUAAAUGAGAGGAUAAAAGAGAAAGUUCUUCCCAGUUUCCCAGGUGGUCCCAGCUAGAUCCUGUGUCCACGGAAGCUGCUGGUGCCCAGGCUGUGGGUCUUGUUGGAAGAAGCAGGACUGGAACAAAGGAUGAAAAGGAGGUUGGCAUGGACAUAAGAGGAGAGCUUGCACUGGACCACCGAAGACCACCAUCCCUGGUCUGGGCUCUGGCACCAGGCUCUGCCAGUGGCAGCUCAGAGGCCACAGGGUGACAUUGGCCACACCCCCACCCCACUUCCCUGGCCUGGGCCUCGAAAGAUGAAGCAACUGAAUUUAUUCUUAAAUCAGAGACCAGGAAGGGAAAGUCAGCUGGGGCCAUGGCUACCUUCUUGGGAGAGUGACCCCUGAACCCAGCCAAGGCCACAUUCAAGCUCAGUGUCAACACUAGGCAUGAACCUCCAAGGGACCUGUGGGCUGGGGCAGAAUGGCUUCAGUGACAAGACUCAAAGGAGGCACUAGCAUUGUGCUGCUGGACUGGGGGAAGGACUUGCUUGGGAGGAGAACUCUACAUAGGAGCUGGGGGCAGGUGGACCUAGAUCCAACCUUCAACCCCUAGUGAGGGGCCAGGCAGAGGACAAGGCAACAACUAAGCUAGGUAAAGUUCUGGAAAGUUUCCAAGCCCAGGAGGAACAAGGACCACUCUGGAAAAACAUUCCAAAGCCCAUUGCAUACCUGUGGUAGAGACUAGGGGAGUGAUUCCAGGGAUAAGACGGACAAAUGUGUUCCAGGCCCCAGCUGAUGGUGGGUGUGGUCUUCAUAAUGAGAGGUGGAGCUGAGAUUUGGGCCUGGGCUGGGAAGAGGAGUACACAGUCCAUCUGAUCCACCUCUCUUAUGGUUCCAUUGGCAAAAUCAUUCAUCAGUCGUCCUAUCUUUUCCUGGCGAGCGCUCACAAUGGCUUCAUAAGUGUUUCAAUACAGUGUCCCAGGCAGUCACUACCUAUAGAUUAGAGCUGAUGUGCUGGCCUGGGGCUCUAGAGCUGGGCUUCAGGAAGAAUGUGGUCAGGGCCAUCAGGGUGGAACAAGGUAGCUCAAGACCUUGGAAAGACACCCUGAGGGCACAAUCGUCCUUGCAGUUUAAGAUGACACUUUAAAAAUAAAUUCUUUCCUAAUGAUGGCUUGAGUCCUGCCACUCAAUGGGAGCAUCAGCGGAACCCGUAGCAUCUUAUUUGGAAUUGACAUUCUCUAUUGUAAUUUUGUUCCUGUUUAUUUUUAAGUUUUCUUUUUGUUUCACUGGAAAGGAAAGAUGAUGCUCUGUUUUAAACAUUAAAAGUAUACAAGUUGCUUUGUUACAAUAAAACUAAAUAUGUACACACACC
rnacentral:lncRNA from 1 species